rnacentral:snRNA from 1 species
UGUAUCGCUUAGACAGUAUGUAUACUUAAAAUUGGAACAAUGCAGAGAAGAUUAGCAUGGCCCUUGCACAAGGAUGACACACAAAUUCGUGAAGCAUUCCAUAUUUAA